rnacentral:lncRNA from 1 species
GGUAUCUAGUUUUAAAAAUAUGUUAGGUGACCCGGUCAACCAACCAAGAUGGCCGCCAUGGCUAAAAAUAAAACAUAGGGGUAAAAUGCAGUUUUAGGCUUAUAACUCAAAAAACCAAAGUAUUUAGAGCAAAUCUGACUGGGGUAAACUUGUUUAUCAGGUGAAGAUCUAUCUGCCCUGAAAUUUUCAGAUAAAUCGGACAACC